CAGAGGAGUGCUGAGGAUUCCUUGAACCACAACAGCUGUCUGCAGCCCACAGAGCCAACCAGAUUCCAGGGCUGGAGCAGCAGUACUUGGCAGCAUCUCAUAAGGCACAGAGCUGCCCCAGCAGGUAGGCUGGGACAUCUCAUUGCCCAGAGAAGCUGCAAACUGUCAGGUGACUGGAUGAAUUUACAACUAAAUGUAGGUCAGAAACAAGAGGUAGGAAAAAUAAGGGGACAGCGUGAGCAUUCUGCAUCGGGAGGAUGGAUGCAGUGGAAAACAGCAGGUGGUGAUAGAUGGUGAUCUGGUGGAGUGAUUGGGAUGGUGGCGUGUUUAUUUGAAUCAGGGGCUGCAUGUGAGUAUUGCAGAGCAUUCUUAAUGAAAGCUAGUAAACAUUUUACUACGCUGUCAGAUAGCUGCAGUUCACUGAUGCUGCAGAAAGCCUGUUUUGCAUAUUUAGAAAUAGGUCACUGGGACACGAUUGCACUCCUCUUCUGAAAAGCAAGGUGUGAUUGAGAAGAACUCAGUGUUCAGAACUCCAACAGAGUUGUGAAACCAACCAGAAACAGCUGAUGCUAGGCUGGGUAUUGAUGUCCCACCAGUGCCUUGACACCCCAGACCCUGACAGCAGAUGUAAGUGCUGUGUCCCAGCGGGCAGCACAAUGUGCUUUUCUCUCUCUUGGUCACAACAGCCACUUGCUGUUGGGGUUUCACAAGCUUCUAAGUAGGCAAUCGGAUCUAUAGGUUGAGUCUGUAUGGGAGUAAGGGUGGGGCUUAAAUAUGGGUAAUGUUUCUCAAAAAUGGAGUUGCUUCGUGUUCAAGUAUAUGCCAUCUGUGCAGGGUGUCUGACAGCCUGCUGGUAAACACAGGAGGCUUUCUGCUGUGUCUGUGAUUCAUCUGCAAGUGAAUUAAUGUUUUGGAAUGGGGAGCACAGCUCAACAGCCAGGGGGAGCAGAGAGGAGCACGCAGCUCUGGGCUGCAUGUUCAGCAGGAGGAAGAUGGGUGCAGGAGGGACUCAGGCUGUCUGAACAGUGCCUUCCAUGUGUGGGUCAGAGAAGAGGCAGGUCACAUUUGCCUCCAUCCAUCCAUGGAUCCCAAGGUGAGAUGUGGGAAUUUUCUGGGGUCAUCUCUCUGGAGGAAUGGAGGAAGACUUGUUUUGUCUUCUGGGCUGAUGAUAAUAAGAUUAUUGUCUUAUAUAUUACUAGCUUAUCUCUCACAAAAAAAAAAAAAAAAAAAAAAAAAAAAAGAAGGUUAGGUUCCACAUUUCCACAUCAUUUCCUUCUAAGAAAAAUUCAAAUAGAUUGCUCUUUAAUGUGUCAGUACCUAAAAUACCCAUCCCCCUG
rnacentral:lncRNA from 1 species